rfam:Streptococcus ictaluri 707-05 Contig1217055118, whole genome shotgun sequence.
GCGGGUGUAGUUUAGUGGUAAAACUACAGCCUUCCAAGCUGUUGUCGCGAGUUCGAUUCUCGUCACCCGCU